CCUACGGGUGGCUGCAGUGGGGAAUAUUGCACAAUGGGCGCAAGCCUGAUGCAGCCAUGCCGCGUGUGUGAAGAAGGCCUUCGGGUUGUAAAGCACUUUCAGCGGGGAGGAAGGCGUUAAGGUUAAUAACCUUGGCGAUUGACGUUACCUGCAGAAGAAGCACCGGCUAACUCCGUGCCAGCAGCCGCGGUAAUACGGAGGGUGCAAGCGUUAAUCGGAAUUACUGGGCGUAAAGCGCACGCAGGCGGUCUGUCAAGUCGGAUGUGAAAUCCCCGGGCUCAACCUGGGAACUGCAUUCGAAACUGGCAGGCUAGAGUCUUGUAGAGGGGGGUAGAAUUCCAGGUGUAGCGGUGAAAUGCGUAGAGAUCUGGAGGAAUACCGGUGGCGAAGGCGGCCCCCUGGACAAAGACUGACGCUCAGGUGCGAAAGCGUGGGGAGCAAACAGGAUUAGAUACCCGGGUAGUC
rnacentral:rRNA from 1 species